rnacentral:rRNA from 1 species
AUACGGAGGAUCCGAGCGUUAUCCGGAUUUAUUGGGUUUAAAGGGAGCGUAGGUGGAUUGUUAAGUCAGUUGUGAAAGUUUGCGGCUCAACCGUAAAAUUGCAGUUGAAACUGGCAGUCUUGAGUACAGUAGAGGUGGGCGGAAUUCGUGGUGUAGCGGUGAAAUGCUUAGAUAUCACGAAGAACUCCGAUUGCGAAGGCAGCUCACUAGACUGUUACUGACACUGAUGCUCGAAAGUGUGGGUAUCAAACAGGAUUAGAUACCCUGGUAGUCCGCACAGUAAACGAUGAAUACUCGCUGUUUGCGAUACACGGUAAGCGGCCAAGCGAAAGCGUUAAGUAUUCCACCUGGGGAGUACGCCGGCAACGGUGAAACUCAAAUGAAUUGACGGGG